UACGGGGGGAGCAAGCGUUGUUCGGAUUUACUGGGCGUAAAGGGCGUGCAGGCGGUCCGUUAAGUUCAGGGUGAAAGCUCCCGGCUCAACUGGGAGAGGUCCUUGGAUACUGGCGGACUCGAGGGAGGUAGAGGAAAGUGGAAUUCCCGGUGUAGUGGUGAUAUGCGUAGAUAUCGGGAGGAACACCAGUGGCGAAGGCGGCUCUCUGGGCCUUUCCUGACGCUGAGACGCGAAAGCGUGGGGAGCGAACCGG
rnacentral:rRNA from 1 species